rnacentral:tRNA from 1 species
GCUUCAGCUCAGUCAGUACAGCAGGAGACUCUUAAUCUCAGGGUUGUGGGUCCGAGCCCCACAUGCGACA